CACCAUACAUCAGCCUAGCAGCAGAGUUGGGGCUCUUGGUGAUUUUGCAUCCAGGACCCUACAUCUGUGCUGAGUGGGACUUAGGAGUGCUGCGCAGGUUGUUUCCAUUACUUUAAGCCUUUAACUUUGUAGCAGGGGUUAGUCCAAUUUUACCCAAGCCAACAUGUUGAAUGUUCAAUGAGACCUCCUUAUAACGUUUUUUUCCUUUCGGCUGGCUGUUCCGUGACAAAAACAUGAAGUUGAGAACAACCUACUCUGUCUUCAUAGAAGCAGAGAAACCUUUCCUUAACAAACUCAUCCCAAAAAUUAAGCCUCUACAAGUACGUAAAUAAGUGACCUUAUUAUCCAAGCUAUCAAGUCCUGAUAUCUGUUCGCAGAGAGGUUCGUAGUUUGAAGAGGGAGGCCUCAUCAUUGCAGUUCAAGUGGAGAAUGAGCGGCUUAUAUGCAAAGGAUGAACGAUACAUGCCUUUUAUGAAGGAGCUCUAUUCCUCUAUCCAGAGGGAUCAAUGAACUCCUGCUGACAUUAGACAACCGGGAGGGGCUACGUUUUUUUUCUUAGCCCCUCCUCUCUUAAGUUCCCAAGACGGUAAACCUUCAAAGACUGGCAAACGGAACCAUACAAUAUUUAGCGUACAUGCAGCCCCAGAAACCUCUGCUUCUAAUGGAGUACUGGUCUGGGUGGUUCGAUGUCUGGAGUGAAUCUCUACCAUGUGUUUCCAGCAGAGGACAUGUUGGCUGUGGUGUCACAGAUACUGGAGCCAGGUGUAUCCAUCAACCUCUAUAUGUUCCAUGGUGGAACCAGCUUUGGCUUCAUGAAUGGAGCUGUGGUGAACCUUGACACCUACAAACCUCAAGUCGGAAGCUAUUCAGCCAGUUUUAUGUAUCCCUUGAACUGACAUUUCCCAAAUGUACAUUUCCUUGACCAGAAAAAUGUUGUCAUCUGAAUCUGAAUCUUUUUUUUUUUUUUGAUUAUGAUGCUUUGUUAUCCGAGGCUGGAGAUUACACCACCAAGUAUCAGCUCUUGAGGAAUUUAUUCAGCCAGUUUCACAAUGAGAAGCUUCCUGAGGCUCCCUCUCUCCAGGCCGGGAGAGUAUGAGCCUGUCAUCAUUCAGAAGCAUCUGUCACUGUGGGAGAGCCUGCAGUUUACUGACAAGAUUGAGUGCAACAAGCCAGUGGAACUCUGUCCCCCAAAAGCCUUCCUUCCCAGGUUUCUUCCAGGGCAGGCUGUAUGUGGACGGUCAUCCCAGAGACACCUUCAUCCCAGAGACACAAGCAUUUCGCUACACUCACAUUAACAUCUGCUAACCAUGUCCACAGGGUUGGAGUAAAGGAGUGGUAUUUAUCAACGGGCAGAAUCUUGGACGCCACAGGUCCGUCGUUCCCCAGCAAACCCUUUACCUCCCUGGACCUUGGCUUAAAAGUGGAAAUAAUCAGAUCAUCGUGUUCGAGAAACAUAAAGAUGAUUAUAAAUUUGUUUUUGUUGAAAAUCCUGAUCAUGGAAAAACAAUUGAUGUAUACAAACAUCCAUUUUGUGUUCUGCUUUGAAAUUAUCAAUAUUUUAAAUAAAACAAUGACACAGCAAGUUAUUAUAAUAUAGUAAUAACAUGGUAAAAUACAAAGCUAUGAUUACCGUAACACACUGUAUGUAUGUAAUGUUGUUUUUGUGUUAUGGGAUGGGUCUACCACUGAAUGUGAUAAUAGACAUGUAUUUAUAUGUAGCCCAGAACACAGUCAUAAGGAAAGAUACAUACAUUGAAAAACAAGACAUUUAGUGGCAGACUAUUACAACAAAGAAAGGUGAGAUGGAAGAGAUAAAGGACAACAAAUUUCA